CAGGGAUUGCCUUAGUAACGGCGAGUGAAGCGGCAAAAGCUCAAAUUUGAAAUCUGGCACCUUCGGUGUCCGAGUUGUAAUUUGAAGAAGGUAACUUUGGAGUUGGCUCUUGUCUAUGUUCCUUGGAACAGGACGUCACAGAGGGUGAGAAUCCCGUGCGAUGAGAUGCCCAAUUCUAUGUAAAGUGCUUUCGAAGAGUCGAGUUGUUUGGGAAUGCAGCUCUAAGUGGGUGGUAAAUUCCAUCUAAAGCUAAAUAUUGGCGAGAGACCGAUAGCGAACAAGUACAGUGAUGGAAAGAUGAAAAGAACUUUGAAAAGAGAGUGAAAAAGUACGUGAAAUUGUUGAAAGGGAAGGGCUUGAGAUCAGACUUGGUAUUUUGCGAUCCUUUCCUUCUUGGUUGGGUUCCUCGCAGCUUACUGGGCCAGCAUCGGUUUGGAUGGUAGGAUAAUGACUAAGGAAUGUGGCUCUACUUCGGUGGAGUGUUAUAGCCUUGGUUGAUACUGCCUGUCUAGACCGAGGACUGCGUCUUUUGACUAGG
rnacentral:rRNA from 1 species